CUUCACAUCACUUACCCCAUUUACAUAUUAAAAAAGUGAGGUUAUGUCCCUCUCACGAACCUGAAUGUUCCCCUGUCACGUACCUUUAAACAAUCUCCUGAAAAUUAUGAGUAAGUGGUUGAAUGAAAAAUUGACGACAUUUAAAAACAAAAUCACUGGACCCCUGAUAAAACAUGAAAGGAUUUAUAGAGAGGCAGACAGUGUCGGAGUGUUUCGUUGCUGAAAUCUCUAAGCAUCAGAAGCCCAAAGCCCCCAGGAAUGGAAAAUCCAUGGAGAUGAAAUACUAAAAAAAAUCCUUCCAAUUCCCUAAAAUCAGAACUAAAAAAGCUGGCGAAAUCUCCAAAAAAUGAAGAGACAGAUAAUAGAUAACUGGCAGGAGACGUUCGAGCUCUCCCGUGGACGAAAUGGGCUGCCACAAAAGUGCUCGGACGAAAAAGCGAGUCUUUCAGAUUUUCGAUUCCAGUUGCUGCUAGAUCUUGUGUUGAUCAGUCAAACAAAGGAUUAGGUGACAUACGCAGGUAUGGAGAGACUCCAAAAUUAUGGGUGUCCUCCGGAUCUUCUGAUCAAGACUCCUGACAAUGUUCUUAGGAAAUUAAUUCAUCCUCCCGAAGUCCAGUAUAUUAAGAAAAAUCUCUAAAGUCGAAUUAGCUGAAAACACUCGAGGUUCACUGAGAAUUGAAGUUUUUGUAGCCAAUAGUUCGGGGGUCCAAGUUUUCACACAAAAAUCACCUGAGAGAAUGCCGAGAUUGAACUCCGCCUCUCAGGAGCUUCAGAGGGAAACGAAGAGUUUUGGGAAUGCCCAUGGCUCCAAGAGCUGACAAAAAAUGCAGUCAUCCACAACGCCCUCCCCAUCGGGGGAGAGUAUUGAUGGUCAUAGGAUCUAAAUUGGAGAAGUG